rnacentral:rRNA from 1 species
GGACUACCCGGGUAUCUAAUCCCGUUUGCUCCCCUGGCUUUCGUGUCUCAGUGUCAGCACAGCCCCAGCUACCUGUUUUCACCAUUGGCGUUCCAAAUGAUAUCUACGCAUUUCACCGCUCCACCAUUUGUUCCGGUAGCCCCUAGCUGGCUCAAGACCGCCAGUAUACCAAGCAGUUCCACGGUUAAGCCGUGGGAUUUCACAAGGUACUUAACGAUCCACCUACACACGCUUUAAGCCCAGUGAUUCCGCCUAACGCUCGAGACCUCUGUAUUACCGCGGCUGCUGGCAC